rnacentral:rRNA from 1 species
AGUAGUUUGAUCCUGGCUCAGAACGAACGCUGGCGGCAUGCCUAACACAUGCAAGUCGAACGAAGCCUUCGGGCUUAGUGGCGCACGGGUGCGUAACACGUGGGAAUCUGCCCUUUGGUUCGGAAUAACAGUUAGAAAUGACCGCUAAUACCGGAUAAUGACGUAAGUCCAAAGAUUUAUCGCCGAAGGAUGAGCCCGCGUAGGAUUAGGUAGUUGGUGGGGUAAUGGCCCACCAAGCCGACGAUCCUUAGCUGGUCUGAGAGGAUGAUCAGCCACACUGGGACUGAGACACGGCCCAGACUCCUACGGGAGGCAGCAGUGGGGAAUAUUGGACAAUGGGCGAAAGCCUGAUCCAGCAAUGCCGCGUGAGUGAUGAAGGCCUUAGGGUUGUAAAGCUCUUUACCAGGGAUGAUAAUGACAGUACCUGGAGAAUAAGCUCCGGCUAACUCCGUG